rnacentral:rRNA from 1 species
UACGGAGGGUGCGAGCGUUAAUCGGAAUUACUGGGCGUAAAGCGUGCGUAGGUGGUUGAUUAAGUUAUCUGUGAAAUCCCUGGGCUUAACCUGGGGCGGUCAGAUAAGACUGGUUGACUCGAGUAUGGGAGAGGGUAGUGGAAUUUCCGGUGUAGCGGUGAAAUGCGUAGAGAUCGGAAGGAACACCAGUGGCGAAGGCGGCUACCUGGCCUAAUACUGACACUGAGGCACGAAAGCGUGGGGAGCAAACAGG